AGUACUGGUCGGGAUGUUGCACCGUGCGGGUCGUAGUGAUCGGUCUCGGUUAGCGUCAAAUUUAAAACAAGUGAUCUAGUGAAGAUACAUGUAAAAGAUGACAUGUUUUGUCAGUAAAGUAUUAACGCGUGAAAACAGAAGCAAGCAAGUGAGUGUUAGUGUAGCCCGCGCUUAAUGCACAACUAAUCCACAUGAAACCAUUGCACCGUGAACAGUCGAUGCGAUGAUCUUGGCGCUGCAUACUGAGCCGGCAAUUGGUGGACCGGUGUGUUCUUUCUACUGGAGCUUAAAAUAGCCAAAUCAGCGUGUGCACCAAACCGAAUCCGCGAAUUCACGCGACGUCGGACGUUCUGUCACCGGUUAUUGCCGAAGCCGUACCGAGUGUGCCGGAAAACCGCAACGACAAGCAAUUGAGUUUCCCCAACAGUGUCGUUGAUGCCCUGGCUUUACUUCACGAUCAUGCCGAUAAGAUACGAAGCGAAAAUGAGCCAGUGGGCUCGGUAUGAUGGUAGGCGGAGGCACCUGUCAAAAUGAUCGAAGUGCGUGAGAAAUUAUCGAUCAGCCAUUACUGCUCAUUUGUGCGAUCGGCGAAAAAUGUGAUCACGCAUCACGAGGUAAUUGUUGUGCAUCGUGGCGGCUUUGUUUCAGAGGUCAGUACGUGUUGGUUGGUCGAGUGUGUUUGGCGUGAAUAAAGUUGUUAAAUGUGCAUUGUGCAUGUGCAUAGCGAGAGAGUGAAACGGUUUUUUGAGUGUGUAGAAGAACAUAACCAAAAAAACCUCGCACUAAUUGACACGGCAACAGAGAGCCUGGAAAAAGGGUUGCGAAAAUAUUUGUUCGCAAAGCAGCAGAUCUCUGUGCAGCUAUACGAACGUCUGGCGAAAGAAAGUAAUUAUAGACGCCCUUAUCAAUGCAAUGCCAUUUUUCAUCGCGCCUUCCUCAUGGAUGCUGCCAACGCUGUCCGUGCAGAAAGCAGUUCCUCGACAGACCACUUUGGAUGCCGGUAUCGGCAAUGAUACUGAUGAUGAUGACGAUGGUAAUGCCAGACGACGGUUCCGGAAUUGGUAGAAUACACGGGUUGUGCUGAUCACGUCGAUGCUUCGCCUACCAUUUGCGACAAGUGAGUGAGUUGGGCUAGACGCCGAUAGUUUGUCGUGUCGCGUGGUGCUAGUGGCUUUGUGAUAAGUGAGCACAAGUGAAGAAAGCAAAGAAGUGUGCCAACAAUGCAAGAAGCAAGUGCGUUGCCCGCAGUGUUGCAGUGAUUAGCGUGCGAUUUGGUGCGAAUAUUGUGUUCGGUAUCACCACAAAAAGCGGAAGCGAAAUCGAGUGGAAAGAAGAAGUAGCGACGAAGAAAACGUAUGUGUGAGUGUUUGUAUGAUCGAUAGAAAAUAGAAAGAAAGUGAGAAUGAGAUUUCAAAUGUGUUCCACACGACGACCCGAUCUCGUGAGGUGGUGUGCGUUGGUGACGCUGCUGUUGGUACUGAUCGUUGAUGCCGUGACAGGGAUUCGACGGGAUCACGACGAUAUGUCGGUGGAGGAGAUGCUGCGACGCGAAAGCCGUGAUGCCGACCAGACACAGUACGAGGGUUCGAUCGGUGGAUCGAGUCACAGCUCUGCCGAGGGUCUUGACACGGGUGCCCUUCCGGUACUGAUGCGGAAUCGACCACGACGAACGAAGCAAGUGUGGAGACAUCAUCGGACACGGCACUCCGGGCGGCAAGAAUUAAAAUUACUUUCGGGUCUGACGGUGUCCACAGCGACCACGGACUACGAGCAGCAGCUUCCGAAGGCGUCCGGUUUGUGGCCAUCAUUUUUUAAUGUAGCCCUCCGGGCGACAAUCUCCGUGAAUGCGACCUGUGGUCAGACGGGCCGGGAGGAGUACUGCCGGCUGACGACCGACGGCACCGGACGCUCGCGUGGUUCUCAGUGCGGUAUAUGCGACGCGAACAAUCCGGACCCGGAGAAGCGGCAUCCGAUCACCAAUAUUGUCGACGGAACGAACAGCUGGUGGCAGAGUCCGACGUUGCAGAAAGGCGCUAAAAAUGAUCGCGUGACGAUCAAUCUCGAUCUCGGACAGCUGUAUCAGAUAGCGUUUUUCACGAUGCGUGCCGCCAUAUCACCCCUUCCCGCGGCCUGGGUGCUAGAAAAAUCGAUAGACGGACGGGUGUACGAUGCCUGGCAGUACUUCGCGUCCGAUGAUACCGAAUGCCGGGAGCGCUUUGGAUUGCCGGCAUUCAGCACUAAUUACAUCUUCAAAAGCGACACGGAAGUGAUUUGUUCAACGCAGUUUUCUUCGCUGGAGCCACUGGAAAAUGGUGAAAUCAAUCUUUCUAUCAUAAGUGGACGGCCCAGCGAAAAGAGCACUUCGCCUGAACUUCAGCACUUCACCCUUGCUCGCUACGUUCGAAUACGGCUGUUGCGUAUUCAACAAGCAGAAGCACAGAGAAGUUUCUACACAAUCCGAUCGCUAAGAAUUGGCGGAAGAUGCUUUUGCUCUGGCCACGCAGGGAAGUGCAAAACGAACGAUAACAACAUUGACAACGAACCACAAUGUGAGUGUGUGCACAAUACCUGUGGAGUGCACUGCGAUCAGUGCUGUCCUCUAUUCAACCAACGGCCCUAUCGGAUUGGAACUCCUAUCGCUGCAAACAAGUGCGAAAAGUGUGAAUGUCACGGUCACGCCAAGUCCUGCAUCUACGAUAGACUGGUUGACGAACAACACCUAAGCAUAAGCAUCCGGGGAAAGAUGAGUGGAGGAGGCGUCUGUCAAAACUGUACCCACUUCACUACCGGUAUCAACUGUGAACGCUGCCUGGCGGGUUAUUACCGGCCGACGGAUCGACUACCGAACCAUCCGGAACCGUGCGUUGUUUGCAACUGUACCGCACCCGGAGCGACAGGAGAAUGCAAUCCGUUGGGAGGAGAAUGCUACUGUCGGGAGGGAUUUAGCGGUCCGGGAUGUACAGAAUGUCUUCCAGGACAUGCGGGAGAAAAGUGUUCCCGUUGUGAUUGUGAUGCUCGGGGAACACUUCUUGGUCGGGAGUGUGAUGAAAAAUGCAGCUGCAAGGCGCACGUCGUCGGAGAUCGUUGUGAUAGUUGUGCUGAUGGGUACUUCGCACUGGACGAAGGACAUCUGGAUGGGUGUCUAAAGUGCUAUUGUUCCGGAGUUGCUACGAGCUGUUCAACGGCGUACGUUGAAACGAGUAGCUACGAAACGCUGCAAGGCUGGACCGUUACCAAUUUGGGAAUGAGUGAACAAAUUGUUCCAACGAAGGAUAAUGAGACCGGUUUCCUAGUGUUUGGUAUGUUUGAAAUGCCUGAAACCGAGGCCAUCUACUGGAAGGCGCCAACAGGAUAUCUGGGGAACUUGUUGCGAAGUUACGGAUCAAAACUAAGCUUCAAGAUGCAAUGGGUCACUGUGCGUGGUGACACGAGUGGGAAGCCUACAGUUGGCCCGAAUCUCAUAUUGGUGGGAAAAAACGGCAUGAAGAUAGCGUAUGGGGAGGAGAGCUACGAUGAGAUUGGUGAGGCUACGAUGGAGGUGCCAUUGAAGGAGGACAACUGGUAUCACGUUCCACGGACAGUUAAGGAUAUCAUCACGCGACUACGGCGAACGGAGUAUCACGGUGAUCCCGUGACACGAUCCCAAUUUAUGUCAGUUCUGACCGCCGUGGAAGUGAUACUGCUGCGUGGCACCUAUCACACCGACCAGGUAGAAAGUGUGCUAGAACAAGCACAAUUAUCCUCAGGAUCACAUUCCAUCAGCGGUUCGUCGUCCGGUGGGUCGAACUUUAUCGAACGCUGUGACUGUCCCGAAGGAUAUAGAGGGACUUCCUGCGAGGAGUGUUCUUUCGGGUACGUUCUGAUCUACGAAACCAGUGUGACGCACGAACGAAUCGGACGGUGUAUUCCGUGCUCUAUGUGCAAUGGACAUGCGAGUAGUUGUGAUCUCGAAACGGGAGAGUGUGGCAGCUGUCUACACAAUACUGUCGGCACGAACUGCGAACGUUGUCUGCCAGGAUUCUACGGCAAUGCGACUAUUGGACAGCAGGACGACUGUCGGCAGUGUGCAUGCCCGCUGGUGGAUGCAAGCAACAACUUUUCACCCAACUGUCAGACUCGCGGUGGUAGUUCGGAUCCUGCUGAAUACAUCUGUACACAAUGUCCUCAUGGGUACACGGGAGAUCACUGUGAACUAUGUGACGAUGGAUACUAUGGCGAGCCAACAGUAAUCGGUAGCCAGUGUCUUCCUUGCCCUUGCCAUGGUGGUCCUUGCAACGAAAAAACGGGAGAAUGCAUCAUGUGUUUAGGCAAUACUGAAGGAUGGCGCUGUGAACGAUGCAAAACCGGCUACUGGGGUGUCCCGGAUGAUGGCUGCGAGCCUUGCAGCUGCUCUGAUCUGGGAGCUCUCGAGAAUAAUGUGUGUGACGUGACAACGGGGCAGUGCAUCUGUAAACCACGCUACGGUGGCCGACGGUGUGACGAGUGUGAUGUGGGUUUUGGCAAUUUGGAUCUCGACUGUCCAGCUUGUGCGUGUAGUGUGAACGGUUCGGUUAGUUUGAUGUGCAAUGUUGUGAGUGGACAGUGUGAGUGUAAUAUCGGUACGGAGGGAAUUCACUGCGAUCGCUGCCAGGAAGGGUUCUUCGGGCUGUCCGAGGAACAACCGGGUGCUUGUGAAGGUUGCAACUGUCAUCCGAAAGGUUCGCUUGGCCAUGCCUGCGAUAACAAGACGGGCCAGUGUCAGUGCAAACCAAACAUCGAAGGCCGCCAGUGUAAUCUAUGCCGCAAGGGCUUUUGGGAUUUGAAUUCCGGGAACGGAUGCAUCUCCUGCUCCUGCGAUCCAAGUGGGAGCGAGCUGGAAGGAUGCGAUCUGCAUACGGGACAGUGUUUCUGCAAGCCAGGAGUUACUGGCACUGGUUGCGAUCGGUGUGACGUAGGAUUCUACGGGUUCAGCGCCCAGGGGUGCAUGCGUUGCGAUAUUUGUACUAGCGCAUCGUUCGUGUGUGACCCAGACACGGGUCGCUGCAUCUGCCCGCCCAACAGUCACGGUCCAGAAUGUCGCUCCUGUAUCGCCAACACCUGGGGUAACGAGUUCCAGAAAGGUUGCAAACACUGCGCCUGUGAUAUCGUCGGCUCAAUCGGACAAUCGUGCGAACGAGAAACGGGGCAAUGUAGCUGCAAGGAGGGUUAUACAGGUCGGCAAUGCAAUGAAUGCGCCCCGGGAUACUAUGGCUAUCCGACGUGUCAUCGUUGCGCUUGUGAUGAGCGUGGUACACUGCCGAGCAAUAACAAAACUGUGUUUCCCUGUGAUCGGAACGGUCAGUGCCAGUGUAAAGAGAUGGUGUACGGGAAACGGUGUGAUCUUUGCAGACAGGGAACGUUUGGGUUAGCUGCUUUCCAUCCGGAAGGAUGCACCAGGUGCUUCUGCUUUGGAAGGGCAAGCAAUUGUACACAGAGUGAUCAUUCUUGGGGGCAGGUGCGAUUGGUUGGUUCAAGAAACUUGAGUGUGGAGUAUCUGGAGCGACAAGAUGGCCAUACAGAGGUGGAUUAUGUUGUUAUCCUGCAACUGGAAGGAUCACAUAUGAACCGGGAAGAUGUAAACAUUACCAGCAUGAACAACCUCGAGCUGAUACCGAGCUCGUCGGGAAAUGUGUCAAUCGGAGCGUAUGCUACGUUCCGAUAUCCGUUGUACUUCCAACUACCUCCUCAGUUCCUAGGUGAUCGCGUCGCCAGCUAUGGUGGGCAGCUGAACUUCACUCUAAUCACGGCCGGUGCGACCAUCAACAUACCUGAGCCGUCAUUGCGCCAGUUCCCACUUGUACAGCUGCACACACACGAGAAUCUGGUGCUUGACUUCUACGAAGAAUCCAUCCGUUACGGACAGUCGAUUGAAACACACUCUGUGCGAUUACUUGGAAGUCUUUGGCGCAAUCACUACGACGGUGCGUGGAUCAACAGAACGAUCUUGAUGACUGCCCUCCAGAACGUCCGGCAUAUUUUUGUGCGAGGGACGACCACCAUGGACUUUCAGCAAGUUGUCCUUACCAAUGUGACACUUGAUACGGGCAUAUUUGUAGUAGGAGCAGAGAAUAACCAUGCGUACGGUGUGGAACGUUGUAGCUGCUCACCGAAGUACAAAGGACUAUCGUGUCAGGAUCCGGGUCCGGGUUACUAUCGCCACCGGUUGCCGAUCGUUGAUUUGGAGUGGGCCACAAUAGAUGAUAUGAUUGGCAAGGUGAUUCCUUGUGGAUGUAACGGCCGGAGUGAGGAGUGUGAUCCGGAAACGGGCGUUUGCAUGAACUGCCGCAACAACACCGGAGGAGAGCAUUGUGAACGGUGUGCGGAAGGAUUCUAUGGUGAUCCUAAUAUUGGUCAGUGUGCACCGUGUCCAUGUCCUGAAACGCGUAAAAACUUUGCCCGUGGUUGUACGGUGCGUGGCAGCGACGUGCAAUGCAUUUGCAAGCCCGGUUAUACAGGAUCGCUGUGUGACAGUUGUAUGCGUGGGUACUUUGGACAUCCGCAUUUGGAUAAUGGACACUGUGAGGCGUGUGACUGUAAUCGUGAGGGUAGCAUGUCGGAUGAGUGUGAUCAUUUCAGUGGCGAGUGUCAUUGUCGACCGGGAGUAACGGGUCGCAAGUGUGAUCGUUGCGAAAAGCCCAAGCAUAUCGUCCAAGACUAUAGGUGCAAGAUUUGUGACAACUGCACCAUUACGCUGAUCGAUGAUUUCGAAAUUCUGGCUAGCCGUUUGUCCGAGGAAACUACCCACAUCGAUCGAAACGGCAUCCCGGCGCCCUGGGUGAAAUUGACGAGAUAUGAAGCGAAAACGCGCAAACUCUCGGAUCGUGUAGCCCAACUGCUCGAAGCGGAAGACACUGCCAAGAAGUUUAUGGUCGACUUUGCAGAACCACUCAAGCGCAAUGCAACGCGACUUAGCAAGCGGAUCCAGAAGAUAGACAAUCGUUUAAAAAUCCGUGAGGAGGAAAUAGGCAAGUGUACCGAGCGUGCGACAGACUUACAUGAUGAAAUCAUAGUGAUCGAUGAUGAUCUUCGGCACACUAUUCAAAUGCUUAAAAACUACGGAGUAGGUGAUCAUCACAUCAAGUUACCCCUUGCCGUAAAAGAAGCGAACGAUUUGCUAGCCGACAUACGCAAUCAGUAUGACGCGACGCAGUUCGACGAUAAGGUGCUUGAAUGUGCUAACAAACAGUUCAAUCAUUGGACCAAUGUGUCGAAAAUGGUUGAACGGCAAGGCAGGAGGCUGGAUGAUCUCAAGUUCGAAAUUGAGCAGAUACACCACAAGGCGGAUCAUCUGCAGAACUACACCGUACAGGUGUUCCGACACGUGCAGGAAACGGAGGUGUACCAAACCACAAACCAGAAACAUUUUGACAAGGUCCGUGAUGCGUACAAGCAAGCGCUCGAUGAUGAUGAACGCGUGAAGAAACUUCUCGACACCAACGUUAUGGCCGAUACGGACGUGAAAUUGGUACAGCUCGAAGAUAACUACGGGCAGUUAGAAAAUGACAACAGCUCGCUACACUUCUUGGUUGACGUACUGAAUGAAUCGACGGAAGAUUUAAUUCGUAAGAAAAGUAUACUGCUGGAGACGCAGGUUCCAAAGGCAGUUCGACAUGCAGAACAGUUGAAGGCGAAGGCGGAUCACAUUAAGAGCAAAUUCCAAACGACCGAAGAUAUAUCGGCAAAGGCUAUGAAGGCUAGCCAAGCGUACGAAAACAUCAUCUCCGCUAUUGUGGCUGCCCAGUUCAGUGCAGACAAUGCGACAAGUAUGGUAGAGAAAGCCGAUCAACUAAUCCAUCCAGAGCAUGACGUUACGAUCAGUGACCAGAGUCGAAAGGCGUUGGGAGUGUCUACGAAUCUGACGAGUCGAGCCACCAAGGAACUGAACAAAGCUAUUGCCCUCAAUGAGACGAUGAUACAGAAAGAGAAAAUUGUCCAAAGCCUCAAGGAUCAAAUUUGGCAGACAGCGAUCAAGAACAACAAUCUAAUGGAUGAGCUUGGCAAGGUCGAACGAGGUGAAACGAUGAAAACGGUUCAAUCCGACCUAGACCGUUCGAGCAUCGUGUCCGAACAGAUGAAGUUUGUGCGCCAGGAAGCAAUCAAUCUGAACAGUGACGUUUACAAGUUGAAGAUGAAGCUGAAAUCACUCGAACCGGAAUGGGAUACCAAGUUUGGCAUGGCAGAGGAAAACGUUUCGCAAACGUUUGGUAACAUCCGGAAGGCAAAGGAUAAGCUGAAUGGUAUUGAAGCACUAGCGAGAAUUCAAGAAGACCGCUUCAAGUCGUGGAAUCAGUCGUUCUCCGGACAGCUGCAACAGUUACGCGACCAGAUCGCACUGGCCAAACACGCCGCCGAGGGUAUUCGCGUCUCGAUGGAAUCGUCAGAGCAGUGUAUCCGUUCGUACGCCCCUGCCAACUUCGGACCGACGACAACCAAUCGGAUCGUUAUGUCGAUCGCUCUAACCAACCCGAACGUCCAGAACUCACCGCUUGCGUACAUAGAAGGGGACGAUCGUCGUUUCAUAGCGCUCGAGCUGCGGCAGCGUAAGAUCCGGAUGCUUUGGAGCCUGGACGGUAGCACGGUCACGACGGUGACUCAUCCUCAGGAGAUAGAGGUGCGCGAUCUCAAGAACGAUGACGCGUGGUACUUUAUUGACGCCACGCGUACAUUUAACGUGGGAACGCUCAACGUACGCCACAUGUUACCGGCGGGUGUGUUGAGCAAUGCACGUCCGGUUACCGAUGCCAGCAGCCUAGCGUUUACGACGAUCAGUAUCGGACCGAGCAGUCGUAUCUGGGUUGGUGGUAUACCGGACGAUCUGCGUGUGCCUGAUCUGGAACCGAGCCAGGGAUUGGGCGUUGCAGUGAGCCAGCUGUACGUCGAUCGACGACAACUUGGAUUAUGGCACUUUACCAGCUCUAGUGGCAAGUGUGCGGGAGCCAUGUUGGGACCGCAGGAAGUGGCAAGCUCAACAAACGAACGAAACUUCAAUGGAAACGGAUACGCGGUGUUACAGCAUACCGGACGCCAGAGCAAGGUGGAGUUCAGUUUGAGUCUCAGUUUCAAAACGCUCGAUGAAGAUGCGCUCAUUUUCCUUGCGCUGGAUGAGAAGAAUAAUCGAUCCGUAUCGUUGACACUGAACCAAGGCCGUUUGGUGUUCCGCGUAGAUUACGGAGAUGAUGCACGGCUCGAAAUAAACACAACCAAGCGAUACAACACCGGUUCCUGGGUUGCGGUAGAAGCAUCCCGUCAGUAUCGCAAAUCGCGUACAGAUGAAGGCGUGCUGAAGGUGGACGGUCUCGAUAACAUCACUCACGGCUCACCCACGAAACCAAUCGGUGCCUCGAUGCUUCCCGUCCUAAGUGAUAAGUACUAUCUGGGAGGAGUUCCGCCCGGUUUCAAAACUGGCACUACCAAAGCGCCCGGUGCAGAUCACGCAUUCUUGGGCUGUGUGAAGGGACUGCAGAUCAGUGGUACCUCGUAUGAUCCACUGGACAGUACGACCCACUUCGGCAUCGAAACUUCGUGUGAUAGUACGAUCGUGAAGGCAGGUUUUUUCGGCGAAGGAUACGUCGAGUUCCCUUCGUUUCCUUUGAAAAAACGAGCCAACUUUGGCUUCGUAUUCCGUACCAUGCAGCCGGACUGCUUGUUGCUACUAUCUGCUUAUCCGAGUCGCGUUCACGAUGAUUACGAUUCGAAGGAUACUUUCGGAAAUUACUCGGUGUUCUUAUCGGAAGGUCGUCUUCAUCUCUGGAUGGAUGCCGGCACCGGUCGCGUUGAGCUAGUGUCGAACGGAACACUGAACGAUGGCGAGUACCAUGUGCUAGCGAUGGUCAAACAGGGACGCCACGUUGAGUUGCGUAUUGACGACAAGCUACAAAUGACCCGAACGCUUCAAUCUUCCCUUGUAAACAUGCCUGGCGAAAGUGGUGGUCUUUACAUCGGUGGAGUUCCGUACGAUCCGGCAUUCCCAUCGCUAGCGAAGGUGUUCGAUGGACUGCAGGGUGUGGUGGCAAACUUGGUGUUUAACAACCAAACGGUUUCCUUCGGCCAAGCGCUCAACUUUAGCAAUGUGCAGAUGGGUCGUACCGGCCCGCCUAUGGGCAGCCAGGGGUUGUACACGGCACUGAUGAAGACUGAACCAAUCGGACGAAGCUUCAAGGCAGCUCCGGAAGGUUGCCAUCGGAGUGUUGAAAAUGCUACUAACUCAAAGGAAGAAGCAGACGAUUGUUAGACACUAAACAUGCUGGAAAUGGGUUACAUGGUGUAGCGUAGUUGGAUAGAGAUUUACUACUGAUUUAGACUUAAGAGUUGAAGGGAAAUCUAUCUACAGUUUCGGGGAGUUUGGCUUAUUUUACUAGGUUUAUUAUUUGCAUGAUCACAGAGGAGUUUUGGACAGUAAAAUUAAACACCGUAAGAACUUUUUUAGACGUAGUAAUGUUAGAACCAGUAACACCACUCCGCAAGGACGUUUAGUACUUGUAGUUCAAUGGGCAGUGCGCGCACACUUCUUUAAAACAAAACCAUCGCCAUCGAUUACUAACCGGGCUAUAUUAAUCCACAUUGCCGACCUUACACACAUUGCACAGCUUAAGACACGCUUGUUUUGUGAGUCUCGAACUCCAUGGAAGGUCGGAAGCUAUUCCUAUGAACCGAAUGCAUUUAAGUACGGUGACAAACCCCACAGCUACUCCGUGGUGACAGUUCCGGCACGAAAUAUAUGGCAGCGCAACUUCCACAUCGAGUUUGACUUCCGCACGUACUAUCCCAAUGGCAUUUUGUUCGUGGCGUUGGGAACCAAAGAGAAAGCGAAACAUUUCAUCAUGCUGGCGCUCAAAGAUGGCGUCCUCAAGCUGACGGUACGUGGCCGCAAACGGGACCAGCUGCUGCUCGCACCGAAGCUGAACGAUGGCCAGUGGCACCGUGUAGCACUGAGCAGCGUUAAGAAGAAGGCAACGCUGAGCGUACAAAUCGGUAGCAGCCACAGCUCGGCACAAUUGAAAUUACCAAAGAAAUUGAACGCGGCCAAUACGCUGCACGUCGGUGGGCUGCCGGACGAGAUGCUGAUACUUCCUCGGGAACUACAGCCGAGGCCAGAAGCGUUCAAGGGCUGCCUGCGAAAGUUUGUAGUCAACGAUAACACGCAGGAUUUGGCACGACCCGGGCGCCAUUUGCAUGUGGGGCAGUGUUUCCCGCGGAUCGAGCGUGGUUCCUACUUCCCGGGUGAUGCGUAUGCCAUUUACAAACGCAACUUUAACGUAGGAAAGUUCGUUGAAAUCGAGCUGGAAGUACGGACGUCGGAGAUGAACGGAAUACUCAUGAGUGUGGCCGAUCAGAUCAACGGAUUCCCAGCGCUGUCGUUGGAAAUUUCGAACGGAAAUAUAAUCCUUUCGGUGGACAAUGGUGAUGGUAAUCCGACGCGCCUAUCCACGACACUGCCCUCGAAGUACACGCUUUGUGACAACCGAUGGCACAACAUCUCAGCGCUGUACGAAGACCAUCAGAUGGCGCUGAGAGUGAACGAGUAUCCUCCAUCCUUACUGUUGCCACAUGGAUCAGCUGGAUUUGGUCGAGUCAAUACUAAAGCUCCGCUGUACAUCGGAGGCCUUCCAGACGCGGCUUCCAGUGGCACACUGUUGAUGAGAGAAAACUUUAAGGGAUGCAUUCGCAACAUUGCUAUCCGUAACGAGCGCAAGGAUUGGACGGACAUGGACGAUCUGCACAAUGUGCUGCUGAGCGAAUGUCUAGCAGUAAAUUAAGAAAGUCCGUUGCAUCUGCUGGCGCAUCGGUUCGCACUGUACAUAUAGCCACAUACGACUCAAUACGCUUAGACGAAGGUGUUCCAAUGGCAUAGAGAGAUAAGUUCGACGCACUAUUAUUGCGUCGAUUCCAAGUGGAGAUGAACGGUAAAGCCAAAUACACAGCCGUUACUUUCGGCAUCCCGGAGAAAUAGCAAAGAGUUCAACGAUACAGCCAAGGAUUAGCAACUCAUCUUCGGACAGUAUGACGCUCGUGUAGCUGUAGGGUUAGGAAGACAGCGUUACGGUUUAAGCUAGCAGAUAGAUAGCCCACCUAACUUAUGGAUACUUAUAUUUAUUACGCCCGAGAGAGCUCCGAAGUGGCUAUAGGCCUUCUCGCGAGCCACAGAUAGUCUCUAUUUAUUUACGAAUGAACCGAUUCCAGAACACAAAUACAAAUACACAGGAUUAGGAUGAAUUAGGUUCGUUAAGAUGCCAUAGUGCGGUAGAAACUGCUACGUACUGCUCUAUUAAGUAAAUGAUCGCAGCCCCCACUCUUAGUUUACACGGCAAGGAAGAUGUGAAAGGGGUGAGCCGGGGGGUUUACGAAGCACAACGAGGACUAGGAAAUCUGUAGAGAUAUAAAGGUUGCCACCUUAACUAACACAAUCAGUGUGUAAAUCAGUAAGCGAAGUCGAAAAAUGUUUGCGAGUUGGAAAACUACGGUCCGUAUGUCGAUAAAUGAACAUACCGACUACCAGCAAACCUGUAUGUGUCUCCGUUACGGUAUUAAAAAAAAUAAACCUUCUAACCUCCUCCAACGUUGAGAGUGAGUACGUGAACGGUGGAGUA